rnacentral:lncRNA from 1 species
GCUCCACGGCAGCGCAGUGUGGUAUAAAUAUAUCUGAUUACAUAAUUAUUUUCACUUCGUAUCAUCGUAUGAUGAAAGCAAGAUAGCUAGAAAAGUGGAUGGGUUUGAACAGUAUUUACAUGAGGAGCGACGAGUAAACCUGACUUUGCAGGUGCUCUUCACGAGGACGCCUGGUGCCGCAUUUGCAUUAUGGAAAAAAUACUUCUUACUAUAGAAGAAAAACACUUUUAUUUGAAUUAUAAGAUAAUACAGGUAACGUUUGGAAGUAAAAAUACUGAAAUUAUAUAGUAUAUUAGUAGUGAUUAGUGUAUGAAGAAGGUUCUGUUCCAAAUCGUUGUUAAAAUAUGUAUCACCUUCCCGUCCCACUAAUUAAAAAUGCAAACGUAUAGUAGAAAUUGUAAAAAAACUUACACACCAUAUUUACAGUGUUGAACUUUAUAUUUCUAUCUACCGUUUUAUCUAAAUGAAAGAUUUACGUUUUAAACCCGAAAAAAACGCUACUGGCGUUACUAUGUCAACAAUUAAUGAUGUUUCAAAAUGGUGCACAUUUUGGGUUUGAAUUCAACUUGAAAAAAAUGCAAGUCACCCUGCACUUAAUCACUUUUUUCUUUUAGUAAAAUGAAUUUAAAUUAACGAUUAUAUCGUAGAAUUUCGACUUUUCUGAAACAAACGUAUAGGGAGCCACCUAAAGAUAUUGAAAUAUAAGUGCACAAAACAUUACAGUAUAUGUGGUAAGAGUAAUGUCAUUUAAAUAUUCUAAUAAUCUAGCUUUAACACUCUUCAGCACUAAAAAGAAGACAAUUUAAUUUUUAUAUGCAGAAUUCUCGCCAGCCUCUUAUUUCGAUCGCAUCUCCCUGCCAUUCCAACUUGGUAACAUUGCAUACACUAAUUUUAAAGCAAAAAUUCGUUAUUAAAUUAAAUGCCUAUACUUAUCUAAUGCUGAAGAGUAACAGAGUAAAACCCGGACGACUCCUUUUCCUUCGUUUCAUUUGGCAUUCACUUCAAAUCCGCGCAAAAAUAGCAGAUACCACAAAAUAUUUUGAUGGAGUCAAUCAUACACCCCAUGUAAAAUGCAUAGGUAGUUCUAUUUUAUUCUAAAAUUAUCUUCUUUUCCCUUUUGAUUUUACAUUUCUCUUGGUAGGUUUUACGCUAUUUACGACUUUCAAACGACCAACUGCAUCGUCAUCGAGUCCAUCAUCUGCAAAAUCUUCAUCGCCCGAAUCUUGAUUAGCCCCAAGUUCGCGUGGUUUCACACCGCCUUCAAAGGAAAUUAAGAACAAUUUUAAACUUUUUUUCUUUUUGACAGAGAUAUAAUUUUUUGUAUAUCUUAUUUUUUGUAUAUCUUAAUAACGAAAAAAAAACACAAAAGAAAUCAUGAAAGUGAAGGAGUUUGUAUAUCUGAUACAAAAUCAUGCUGAUUUAGAUGAACGUUAAGUUCAAUUUUCUCACCACAUAUCAUUCAUUUGUUUUAAAUUGUUGAAGAAUACGAAUGUAAGAAUCAAGACGUUUCACAAGCCAUUUACAACAUUCGCGUCCGUGUUGUAUCGGAUUUGUACAAAACAAAGUCAUAUCCCAAAAGGUUCUUGAAAUCAACAACUUCUUCAAAUCCUAUUUUCUGUUUGUUCCAUUUCUGAUUAAUGGUUAUAGGCCCAUACCUUCAAUCAUUGUUAUAAUUUUUUGUAUGAUUGUAAAGUUAAUAAAUAAAUAAAUAAAUAAAUAAAAUGUUAUUAAAUAAUACUGUCGGAACUGGGGGGGCAAGAGAGCAGACGUGUAUUUUGUGCUCUGUAUAAAAUUUCAUGUGCAUUAUGUACUAUUUAAAACACGAGUUGGGGUGUUUUAUCAGAUAUAAAACGCGAGGCGCACCCGAGCGUUUUAUAUCUGAUAAAACACGACAACGAGUGUUUUGAAUAGCUUAAAAUACGACUACAAAAGAAUCAGUGACGUGCUGGCAGGGGGGGCCGGGGGGCCACGGCCCCCCCAGCUGGCAAUUUUUGGGGGGCGCAAAAAUGAAAAGGGGGCGCCGAUCCCGCGCCAAAUUUUGAAAGUAGGUGGGAAGAAACGCAUUCGAAAAAAUAUAGUUGCUAAUUCGGCCAAGGAAAGAUGUGUUUAUUGACUUAUAAACAGACUAAGCGCAUAGGCGACAAAGUGAGUAUAUUAAAUUGCAGACUAUUUUGUCUAACCGUAUUUGCUACCUAACGACUCACACGAAAUCACUCGUUCAUAUAGAAACAUGAUCAGUCAUCACACGCAGUGUGAUCUUACCGGAAUAUUGAUCAGCCUUCGAAGCGAUCACGGGAAUUAUGCCCUUUUUUGCUGGUAUUAUACCCUUAUAUUAUGCCCUUUAUUAUGCUUCACGAAUCACGAGAGGGCGCAAAUUAGAUAGUUGAAGUUAUGACAAUGUAAAGU